GUAAUUUCAUAGAAUCUUUAGCCUUUUGUUCGAAAUACAUUGUAGUUGUUCAAUGAACUACGAGAACGGUUGUGAUAAAACGAUGGUGUGGCAGACGUGGCAGCUGACGUGGGGGAGAGUGUGUUACACUCACCAAAAAAGGAUUUAAAAUGUUAUUUUUUAGUGGGUUCAAGGAUCCAAAUAACAAACAUAUAAAUAAAAGCGUCCAACUUAUAAAACCGAUAUAAUACAAAGGUCCAAACGAUCAUUUUACUUUUUUUUUAUAAUAACCUCUAGUUGGUCUCAAAUAAAGAAAGAAACAAGUGUGGGUGACAAGAUUCAAUUCACUUUUUCUUUUUUUGUUAUUUCUAUCGAUGUUCGAUGUUAUUAAAACUCGAUUAAAUAAAGGCUCAUUUUUAGGAGAG